UUCUAGGGCUACAGGAUAUUCCUUAAGUUGUAAUAGGUGCUUCUGGAUGACGAGACAAAGAGUUGUUUCACUAAAUUUUUUGUUUUAAUCCUCUUUAAAAAUAUAAGCUUGAAUCUGUGCCACUCAACCCAAGGGCUCUGUGAAGUUUUUCCAUUUGAACAGCUGGGGGAGCUUGUAGGCAGCAAAUCUUUUCAUUCUCUGUGUUCUUACAAAUAGACCCAAUGACUCAGUCGUAAGCAUGAGUGUCAGCUUUUACAGAUAGUCCCAGUAAUGACUUAACCAAGCUGCAGAGUUCUAGGGGCUUGGAGAUACUGCCAGGCUUAACUAAAAGUAUGAGUCUGAAGGAAGACAAGAGGCAGAACUGGCUCCGUGGUCUGUGGUGUCCCAAGAAGCGGUGGAGGAGGGGGUCUUUAAAGUAAUGUUUCAACAAAGCGAGACUUUGUCAAAGAC
rnacentral:lncRNA from 1 species